UACGAAGGGGACAAGCGUUGUUCGGAAUUAUUGGGCGUAAAGGGCGCGUAGGCGGACUCAUAAGUCGAUUGUGAAAUCCCUGGGCUUAACCCGGGAACUGCAGUCGAAACUGUAAGUCUUGAAUGCUCGAGAGGAUGGUAGAAUUCCUGGUGUAGAGGUGAAAUGCGUAGAUAUCGUAAGGAAGACCAGUGGCGAAGGCGGGUCUCUGGACAGUUCCUGACGCUGAGGCACGAAGGCCAGGGGAGCAAACGGG
rnacentral:rRNA from 1 species